AUCCAAUUGACGAGUUCCAAAUAGGACGAAACACUCGUCUUGUAU
rfam:Schistosoma margrebowiei strain Zambia genome assembly, scaffold: SMRZ_contig0001873